GAUGCCUACGGGACGCAGCAGUGGGGGAUAUUGCACAAUGGGGGGAACCCUGAUGCAGCGACGCCGCGUGAGUGAAGGAGUACUCCGGUAUGUAAAGCUCUAUCAGCAGGGAAGAAGAAAGACGGUACCUGACCAAGAAGCCCCGGCUAACUACGUGCCAGCAGCCGCGGUAAUACGUAGGGGGCGAGCGUUAUCCGGAUUCACUGGGUGUAAAGGGAGCGUAGACGGCCGAUCAAG
rnacentral:rRNA from 1 species